AACGAACGCUGGCGGCAUGCCUAACACAUGCAAGUCGAACGAGACCUUCGGGUCUAGUGGCGCACGGGUGCGUAACGCGUGGGAACCUGCCCUUAGGUUCGGAAUAACUCCCCGAAAGGGGUGCUAAUACCGGAUAAUGUCUUCGGACCAAAGAUUUAUCGCCUUUGGAUGGGCCCGCGUUGGAUUAGCUGGUUGGUAGGGUAAAAGCCUACCAAGGCGAGGAUCCAUAGCUGGUCUGAGAGGAUGAUCAGCCACACUGGGACUGAGACACGGCCCAGACUCCUACGGGAGGGAGCAGUGGGGAAUAUUGGACAAUGGGCGAAAGCCUGAUCCAGCAAUGCCGCGUGAGUGAUGAAGGCCUUAGGGUUGUAAAGCUCUUUUACCCGGGAUGAUAAUGACAGUACCGGGAGAAUAAGCACCGGCUAACUCCGUG
rnacentral:rRNA from 1 species